rnacentral:rRNA from 1 species
CAGCAGCCGCGGGAAUACGAAGGGGGCUAGCGUUGUUCGGAAUUACUGGGCGUAAAGCGCACGUAGGCGGAUAUUUAAGUCAGGGGUGAAAUCCCGCAGCUCAACUGCGGAACUGCCUUUGAUACUGGGUAUCUUGAGUAUGGAAGAGGUUAGUGGAAUUGCGAGUGUAGAGGUGAAAUUCGUAGAUAUUCGCAGGAACACCAGUGGCGAAGGCGGCUAACUGGUCCAUAACUGACGCUGAGGUGCGAAAGCGUGGGGAGCAAACAGGAUUAGAGACCCCAGUAGUCCCUGUCUCUUAUAC